rnacentral:rRNA from 1 species
GGCAGCAGCUAAGAAUAUUCCGCAAUGGUCGAAAGACUGACGGAGCGACGCCGCGUGAAUGAUGAAGGCCGUGAGGUUGUAAAGUUCUUUUCUGGAGGGAGAAUAAGGCAUGUAGGGAAUGACAUGCCGAUGACGUGAAUCCAGGAAUAAGCCCCGGCUAACUACGUGCCAGCAGCCGCGGUAACACGUAGGGGGCAAGCGUUGUUCGGAAUUAUUGGGCGUAAAGGGUGCGCAGGCGGCUUGGCAAGUCUGCUGUUAAAUGGUUGAGCUCAACUCAAUCAUGCGGUGGAAACUAUCAAGCUAGAAUCAACGAAGGGAUGCCGGAAUUCCAGGUGUAGGGGUGAAAUCUGUAGAUAUCUGGAAGAACACCAAUGGCGAAGGCAGGCAUCUGGCGACUGAUUGACGCUGAGGCACGAAGGUGCGGGGAGCAAACAGGUUUAGAUAUCCUGGUAGUCCGCACAGUAAACGAUGUGCACCAGGUGGCGGGUAGCAGUACUCGGUACCGAAGCAAACGCAUUAAGUGCACCGCCUGGGGGGUAUGCUCGCAAGGGUGAAACUCAAAGGAAUUGACGG